ensembl:antisense
CCUACCUCUGCUUCCUCAGCACUGGGAUCAAAAGCAGCAACCCAUCUGCCUGCAUGCUGCCAUGCUUCCCGCCAUGACGAUAAUGGACUAAACCUCUGCACUAUGUAUUGUUUCUAGGUGUGUGCCUGUACGAGUUUGUAUGCGCUCGUGUGUAGGAAUCCAUGGAAGCCAGAAGAGAACACUGGAUUCCCUGGAGCUGAAGUUACAGGUCAAGAGCCAUUAUAUGGAUGCUGGGAACUGAACCUGGAUCAUCUAAUAAGAGCAGUAAGCAAUCUUAACCACUAAAGCCAUCUCUCUAGCCCUAUUUUAUUCUUAGUAGAAUAUUCUUAAUAGAAGCCAUAGCCCAGAGAAUCCCAUACAGGUAGACCUUGUUUUUAAAAACAAAACAAAACUGUCUUUGUAAUCUUUGUCCAUCAUUGUGUAGCUUUCCACAAUUGGCUCUGAUCAACUUAAAAUCUGAACCAUGUGUAUGUUACCAUUUCAUUGAGUCCUGGUUCCCUUAUG